GUUUACAACCAUACCACUCCGAACAUGCCCAGUCUCAUCUAUUCUUGGAAGUUAAGCAGGGUCUGGCCUGGUUAAUACCUGGAUAAGAGAUUCCAAAAUCUGUCCUUUAAUUG
rnacentral:rRNA from 1 species